GACGAACGCUGGCGGCGUGCUUAACACAUGCAAGUCGAACGAUGAAGCCCUUCGGGGUGGAUUAGUGGCGAACGGGUGAGUAACACGUGGGCAAUCUGCCCUGCACUCUGGGACAAGCCCUGGAAACGGGGUCUAAUACCGGAUACGAGCUUCCUCCGCAUGGUGGAAGUUGGAAAGCUCCGGCGGUGCAGGAUGAGCCCGCGGCCUAUCAGCUUGUUGGUGAGGUAACGGCUCACCAAGGCGACGACGGGUAGCCGGCCUGAGAGGGCGACCGGCCACACUGGGACUGAGACACGGCCCAGACUCCUACGGGAGGCAGCAGUGGGGAAUAUUGCACAAUGGGCGAAAGCCUGAUGCAGCGACGCCGCGUGAGGGAUGACGGCCUUCGGGUUGUAAACCUCUUUCAGCAGGGAAGAAGCGAAAGUGACGGUACCUGCAGAAGAAGUGCCGGCUAACUACGUGCCAGCAGCCGCAGUAAAAC
rnacentral:rRNA from 1 species